CCCUUAGAUGUUCUGGGCCGCACGCGUGCUACACUGAGUGGAUCAGCGGGUCAGGUUGCGCGAAAGUGUUUCCUAAUCUUGAAAUCCGCUCGUGAUGGGGAUUGACGGUUGCAAUUUUCCGUCAUGAACGAGGAAUACCUUGUAAGCGCGGGUCAUCAUCCCGCGCUGAAUACGUCCCUGCCCUUUGUACACACCGCCCGUCGCUCCUACCGAUUGAGUGGUCCGGUGAGGCUUUGGGAUCUGAGCAAAAAGAGCGUUUCGCUCGUUUGGCUCGGAAAACUCAGUCGAACCUUAUCAUUUAGAGGAAGGGGAAGUCGUAACA
rnacentral:rRNA from 1 species